rnacentral:snoRNA from 1 species
AAACAGGAUUUAGACUACAAUAUAAGCUCUAAGUUUUGUGUUAUCAUUCCCCCCUGCUUAAAAUAAAGUUAUUUCUUAAUUAACUACACCUGUCUGAUUGACACCUGUUGCAGUCAGGAACACUUAGUAGUCUCAUACAU